UACCUUACGCACCGUGACCUAUUCACCCU
rnacentral:piRNA from 1 species